GGGGCGGUGGCGCAGUUGGUUAGCGCGUCGGUCUCAUAAUCCGGAGGUCGUGAGUUCGAGCCUCACUCGCCCCA
rnacentral:tRNA from 1 species